AAAGAUUAUAAUCCUAGCAAUCAGUUUUUGUAUUUUCGUCAUGAAAAUGUCAAUUACAUCAGUUUGUUCUCCAUAAACCAACAACAAAAACGUAGCCCACACUUACAAAAUAUAAUUCGGCUAGCCUAAUAAACAUAAUCACAAGCAUUAAGAGAACAUUAAUCUAUUGUAUUGUACCUAAUCACUCUCACCGUAGCAUCCGCGGAAUUAGCUAUUCAUGUUGUUCUCUAGUAUUUUUC